AUGUACGUCAGAAACCUUGCACGACGACUGCACCGAAACAAGACCCCAUCCUUGCUUUUCAAGUUGGACAUUCGGAAGGCCUUCGACUCGGUGCGAUGGGAAUAUAUCUUGGACCUACUUCGUCGCUUGGGCUUUCCGUACCGCUUUUGGGAUUGGAUUGAUGCCCUUUUCUGCACCUCAUCGUCACGCAUUCUUCUCAACGGUAUUGUCGGGCCCCCGAUCCUCCAUGGUUGUGGACUUAGGCAGGGAGACCCUCUCUCUCCCUUGCUUUUCGUCAUCGCAAUCGACACGCUGCAGCAGAUCCUCGAUGUCACGACGAACCACAACCUCCUACACAAGCUUCGAGGGAGGGGAUCGCUUGUUCGGACCUCCCUCUAUGCUGAUGACGCGGCGAUUUUCAUCUCGCCGACGCGGGAGGACGUCCAUAACCUUGCUGCCAUCCUCAGAUAUUUCGGCGAGGUCACCGGGCUGUCAACCAACUUUCAAAAGAGCUCUGUAGUUGCUAUUCGGUGUGGUCACAUGAACCUGGAUGACAUUCUGGCCAGCCUUCCUGCUAUGCGGACAUCCUUUCCAAUGAAGUACCUGGGCCUUCCCCUUUCGAUCUGGCAGCUCAAAAGGGUUGACUUUCAACUCCUUGAGGAUAAGGUUGCGGCGAGGUUGCCCCCCUGGCAGGGGCGGAACAUUACCACGAUUGGGCGGGCGGCCUUGGUGAAAUCGGUCCUCACCUCACAAGUCGUCUACCACAUCACCCCGCUCACAGUCCCCCCUGGUGUGCUGAAAAGCAUCAACAAGAUUGAGCGGGCAUUUUUGUGGUCAGCUAGCGACACAACUACAGGAGCAAAAUGCAAGGUCAAUUGGGAGACAGUCUGCCGCCCUACACAGCUCGGUGGGCUUGGCAUACUCCACUUGGGGAAAUUUGCGAGAGCUCUCAGGCUGAGAUGGCCUUGGAUGGCAUGGAAGGACCCGUCUAAGUUGUGGGUUGGCCUGGGCAACCCAUGCUCCGAGGUGGAUAUGAACCUUUUCUACGCAUCCACAGUCAUCACCUUGGGCAAUGGAGGGAAGACACCUUUCUGGGAAGCGCCAUGGUUAGGAGGGAAAAGGCCAAAGGAUAUUGCCCCACUCAUUUUUGCGGCCUGCAAGCGAAAAAAAAUGGUGCGUGAGGGAGGCCAUGCGCGACAAGGCUUGGGUGCACAAGAUUAA
rnacentral:rRNA from 1 species